GGCCAAUCAGGAACUUCUGUGAUGCUUGGAAGCAGCAGAUGGACACAAAUCUUGCUACCUGGUAAAUAGAAACAUCCUGUCCCAAUCUGAAGGCAAGAUUGAGACUUCAAAACUCAUAGUGCUUGUUAGACCUCUCCUGUGUGGAUUUCUAUAUUCUCCCAUCCAAUUUAGAAAAUUGUGAGUGCUUGGCAUGAGAGGCAUCCUCUUCGGAUUCUCCAAUCUUCUUAGCAAGUGGAAGAAAACAUCUGGCUAGAGAUUUCAAAUAUUAAAAACAUUGCUUUGGAAGUAAACUGUAAUCAGAUGCAGUUCCGUCCAAAGGGAGAAGUCAAGAAGAUGGUUAAAAAAGAAAGAAAAACUAAGGGGAUGCACAAAGGACAGCAAUGGACUGUGCAGGAGCCAUCGCCUCAUCACUGAUCCAGAAUAAAAUUUCCACAAGAUCAAAA